AUUGAACGCUGGCGGCAGGCCUAACACAUGCAAGUCGAGCGGUAACAGGAAGCAGCUUGCUGCUUCGCUGACGAGUGGCGGACGGGUGAGUAAUGUCUGGGAAACUGCCUGAUGGAGGGGGAUAACUACUGGAAACGGUAGCUAAUACCGCAUAACGUCGCAAGACCAAAGAGGGGGACCUUAGGGCCUCUUGCCAUCGGCUGUGCCCAGAUGGGAUUAGCUAGUAGGUGGGGUAACGGCUCACCUAGGCGACGAUCCCUAGCUGGUCUGAGAGGAUGACCAGCCACACUGGAACUGAGACACGGUCCAGACUCCUACGGGAGGCAGCAGUGGGGAAUAUUGCACAAUGGGCGCAAGCCUGAUGCAGCCAUGCCGCGUGUAUGAAGAAGGCCUUCGGGUUGUAAAGUACUUUCAGCGGGGAGGAAGGGAGUAAAGUUAAUACCUUUGCUCAUUGACGUUACCCGCAGAAGAAGCACCGGCUAACUCCGUG
rnacentral:rRNA from 1 species